rnacentral:ncRNA from 1 species
AAAAAGGCGAUGAACGGAAAGAGUAGGUUGUUGGUUUGCCGCAGAGAGGGAGUGUCACCGGCUGGAAGCAUUCCUGGCAGAUAUGGCUGAAAGUGCCUCCGGGAGCUGAUCGGGUGAGGGGAGUUUUCCUGUAGCCGGGUACGUUUACGCACGUUACGUGUUUUGAGUGCAGGUAUUAACCUGAAUUAGAGUGGAACCGCGGCUUCAACCGUCUCUGUU